GUGUGCUGGAGACAGGCCAGCUGGGGCCUGCAGCGCUCUGUCGCUCUGUGAUGUGGACAUGGGUGUGGUACUUAAUUAUGGCCUCAGUGCUUCAAGCCUCAGUUUCCUCGGUGGACCACAGCCGCUUUGUCAACUGUGUGCGAUUCUCUCCUGAUGGGAACAGAUUUGCCACAGCCAGUGCUGACGGCCAGAUAUACAUCUAUGACGGGAAGACUGGGGAGAAGGUGUGCGCGCUGGGCGGAAGCAAGGCCCACGACGGUGGGAUUUACGCCAUUAGUUGGAGUCCCGACAGCACCCAUUUGCUUUCUGCUUCUGGGGACAAAACUUCCAAGAUUUGGGACGUCAACGUGAACUCCGUGGUCAGCACAUUUCCCAUGGGCUCCACGGUUCUGGACCAGCAGCUGGGCUGCCUAUGGCAGAAGGACCACCUGCUCAGUGUCUCCCUUUCCGGGUACAUCAACUAUCUGGACAGAAACAACCCCAGCAAGCCCCUGCGCGUUGUCAAGGGUCACAGUAAGUCGAUCCAGUGUCUGGCGGUGCAUAAAAACGGCGGCAAGUCCCACAUUUACUCUGGGAGCCACGACGGGCACAUUAAUUACUGGGAUUCAGAGACAGGGGAGAAUGACUCCUUCGCUGGGAAAGGCCACACGAACCAGGUGUCCAGGAUGACCGUGGACGAGUCGGGGCAGCUCAUCAGCUGCAGCAUGGACGACACCGUGCGGUACACCAGCCUCAUGCUGCGGGACUACAGCGGACAAGGAGUUGUGAAACUGGACAUUCAGCCAAAGUGCGUAGCUGUCGGCCCCGGGGGAUACGCUGUGGUCGUGUGCAUUGGACAGAUUGUCCUGCUGAAGGAUCAGAGGAAGUGCUUCAGCAUCGACAACCCCGGCUACGAGCCUGAAGUUGUGGCAGUGCACCCCGGCGGGGACACGGUGGCGGUUGGGGGUGCGGAUGGCAACGUCCGCCUGUACUCCAUCCUGGGCACCACACUGAAGGAUGAGGGCAAGCUCCUAGAGGCCAAGGGCCCCGUGACCGACGUGGCCUACUCCCACGACGGCGCCUUCCUUGCAGUGUGCGACGCCAGCAAGGUGGUCACAGUGUUCAGCGUCGCUGACGGCUACUCGGAGAACAAUGUUUUUUAUGGACACCAUGCAAAAAUCGUCUGCCUGGCCUGGUCCCCAGACAAUGAACACUUUGCCUCCGGUGGCAUGGACAUGAUGGUGUAUGUUUGGACCCUGAGUGACCCGGAAACCAGAGUCAAGAUCCAAGAUGCACACCGGCUGCACCAUGUCAGCAGCCUGGCCUGGCUGGACGAGCACACGCUGGUCACAACCUCCCAUGACGCCUCUGUCAAGGAGUGGACAAUCACCUACUGAGGAGCCCCACCCCCGCCUCGGGAUGGACCGAAUCA
rnacentral:sRNA from 1 species